GAUGAACGCUGGCGGCGUGCCUAAUACAUGCAAGUCGAGCGAACAGACGAGGAGCUUGCUCCUCUGACGUUAGCGGCGGACGGGUGAGUAACACGUGGAUAACCUACCUAUAAGACUGGGAUAACUUCGGGAAACCGGAGCUAAUACCGGAUAAUAUAUUGAACCGCAUGGUUCAAUAGUGAAAGACGGUUUUGCUGUCACUUAUAGAUGGAUCCGCGCCGCAUUAGCUAGUUGGUAAGGUAACGGCUUACCAAGGCAACGAUGCGUAGCCGACCUGAGAGGGUGAUCGGCCACACUGGAGCUGAGACACGGUCCAGACUCCUACGGGAGGCAGCAGUAGGGAAUCUUCCGCAAUGGGCGAAAGCCUGGCGGAGCAACGCCGCGUGAGUGAUGAAGGUCUUCGGAUCGUAAAACUCUGUUAUUAGGGAAGAACAAAUGUGUAAGUAACUAUGCACGUCUUGACGGUACCUAAUCAGAAAGCCACGGCUAACUACGUG
rnacentral:rRNA from 1 species